AUAGACCUACGGGGGGCAGCAGUCGGGAAUAUUGCGCAAUGGAGGAAACUCUGACGCAGUGACGCCGCGUAUGGGGAGAAGGUUUUCGGAUUGUAAACCAUUGUCGUUAGGGAAGAAGAAGUGACAGUACCUAAGGAGGAAGCUCCGGCUAACUAUGUGCCAGCAGCCGCGGUAAUACAUAGGGAGCGAGCGUUAUCCGGAUUUAUUGGGUGUAAAGGGUGCGUAGACGGGACGGUAAGUCAGCGGUAAAAAUGCGGAGCUCAACUCCGUCGAGCCGUUGAAACUGUCGUUCUUGAGUGAGCGAG
rnacentral:rRNA from 1 species